UAGAAAAUUCAUAUUUGUUACAGAGCUAAAAUAUUGUGGGAAUGAUCUGUGUUUGUUUCAAGUUCACGAACUAUUAUUAACAAACUACAUACUAUAAACUGCUUUGAAAAAAUUUAGAUUUCAUAAAAAAGAUGGCUUCUUUCUCAAGAAAUCAAUAAUCGAUGCACAGAAACAGAUGCAAUAUCUUUCCAAUUACCCUACGCAGUUGUGAGGUUGUUGAUGAAGUAGCAAAUGGUAAUGAAGUAGUUUCAGAGGUGCCAAGUAUUUGGAUCAGCUCUGAUAGGACACAAUGUUGGUGGCCAAUAAGUAAACAAAUUCAUCCUUUGAUGGUUACACAAGCAGUUCCAAAAACUAAUGAUCCUAAGUGGAAUUUAUACAAAGUGAUUUUUGAGAAAUACUAUGAUACAUUGGAAAAAGCCAGAAAAAGAGCAUUAGAAAUGAACGAAUCAACAGAUUAUAGUUCAAAUCCUGAGAAUUCAAAACAAAAGGACGUGGUCAGCGCAACAAAACAAAAAAUCCAAAAUAUGUAGAUGGUUAUGAAAGUGAAAGCAAAGAAGACAGAAAUCAAAAUCAGAAUAAAACAAAAAAUGCAAGCAAAAACAGAGAUGCUAUGUACAAAAAUAGUAAUAAAAACAGAAACCAAAGUACAAAUGUUGACGGACAUAAUUCUUCUAGUGAAGAUGAUGAGAAUGAAGAUAAUAAUAUACCUCUACCACCUACACUUACACUAGAAAAAAAUCAAAAUAAACAAGUUAUAUAUGAUACAGAUAUAAUUAACAUUAUGGAUAAUCAUGAAAUUCAAGAUAAAUUCACAUAAUUAUUACAAUCAUCAUUACUGUGUAGUGUUGUUUUCUUCAAAUGGAAGGAAAUAUUUUGAAUUUUAACCCAGAAAUUGCAACAACUGUAGAUGAUUUGAAAAACAUCCUGGAAGAUAAAGAAAAAGUUUCCAUUAUCAUUAGAGCCAUAGCAAAACUUCAAGUAACUAUGCGUGUUAUUGAAGAAUAUCUUCAAAAUCUGAGUACUACUCACAUUAACAAACAUCAAUCAACUCGCGUUGAUGAAAUCCAAUGACGUAUACCUCUUCAAAAAACCGAGGAAAUUACUACAUUUGAUAAAAAACUGAAAGAGGAGCAAAACUUGUGUUCUAGCUUUGUUACUUUUUUACGAGAUAUUGGAGGCAAUGGCCCAAAAGAACACACUCAGCGUUGUUUGCGAAAAGUUUUUAGCAAUAAUGUUGCAAAACAAUGCUCGUGGUUUGGAUUCAGAAACAAUUACAAAAUUUGUGAUCUGAAAAUCAUACAGUGUAUAAAUGAUGUAGUUAAAGACAAGUAUUGCAAUAAUACUGCAAAAGAGUUCGAAAAUACUGUCAGCGAAUGGUUCCGACAAGGCAGUCAGCGACAUGCUAGAGAAAUUGAACAAGCUAAAAAAAGCAGCAAGAUGUUACGAAAUAAAGUGCAACAACAUAUACUUUUUCUAAGUUAAGUGGAAAAUUGUUCUCAAUUUUUUCCGCUUUUUAUGUGUUUUUAAUUUUUUUAAUUCAUAUUUUUUCUAUUAAUUAUUAUAGUUUGAAUGUGAUAUUAAUUUUACUUUNAUUUAGAUUUUCUAUGAACUAUCAUAAGUAAAAUUGUGAUAAUUUUACUUUGAUUUACUUUUCUAAAUAAUAUAAAUUUUAUUUAUCUAGUAUUUCCAAAGAUAAAUUCGUCUGUUGAUUGUUUUUGACCGUUUAAUAAUGUACUCUGAAGUAUAAGGUAGGAUCAAGCCAGAUCUC